CUGGUCUACGGUCUCCAGGAGCUUCUCGGUCCGCUAAGGGCCGAGGAGAUGGCUGAGUCGGCAGCCUGCCCCACAGGCUCCUCCCCUGCCUCCCGUCUCCAGUCCCAGCUCCUGGGCCCCCGAACACACCUCCAGCGCAUCCCGCCUCUUCUGGGUCAGCGUGCCCAGAUUGUCCCACUGGUCACAGAUGGCCUGGCAGCAGCUGUUCACCGAGGCUGCGUCAUGGUAGUCCAGUUCACUGGGGAGCUCGGAUGGUGGGGCAGGGCCUAGCGUUUCGGAGGCGGGAUUAUGCCAGGAGGAGCCAGGGAGGCCAAGGCUGAUGGAGAGGAUUUGGGGUAGCAGGCCAGACGGAGUUGAACGCAACCGCCAGAUUAGUGGAUGCUAAUGGAUGCACAAGGCUAAGCGCCAGUGAGAAGACUCUGGGCAGCAGAGUGGGGUCCGAAGAUGGGGUCGUGGUUCGGGAGGAGGGGCGGAGCAAGUGGCAACGGGGAGAGGCAGGAGGCGAGGCUGGGUGGGAGCGCUGUCGGGGUGAGGGUCCCUGGGGAGGGCGUGGACCACGCCUACUUGAGCUCCUGGGCCAGCGCCGCGAUGUCCUCCACGCGGUCCUGAUGCGCCGCCAGGUCGCUCUCCAAGGCCCCGUGGCGCCGCAGCAACGCCCGCACCUCCUGCAGCGAGGCCGACUCAAAGUCGCGUUGGCUCAGCAGGUCCUCCUUCCCUGUUCAGGAGAGACCCUGCUCCGGUCAUCCAGCGGCGGCCGUGGCAGGGGCGGGAGGGUUCAAGCUGAGCUUUCCAACUGUGGAAGUUCCUCAUCUGUCAAGUGCGGGUGAUCACACCUGCCCAGCCUACCCUAGGAGUUUGCUCUAAGGCUCUACCGUGAUAAACGGAAGUGAAGUCCCAGUUCCAGGGUAUGGCCCACGAGUGACGUCAGUGUCCACUAACCCUGCACCGUUCGGGGUGGCCCUUGGGACAGUUUCCAUAUUAAAAACUACCUCCCCACGACUCUGUGAGCGUGUUCACUUCACCCUGACCCUGUUUCCUUUGCUCACCAGUUUCCCCAACACCUGGCACAGUGCCUGGCAUUUGGUAAACCCUCUGUGAAUAUUUGUUGGAUGAAUUACUAAUGAAUGUAAAAGUGCUUUCAGAAUGAAAAUUACCAUAAUUAUGCAAAUAAAAAUAAUC